ACGAACGCUGGCGGCGUGCCUAAUACAUGCAAGUCGAACGAACUCUGGUAUUGAUUGGUGCUUGCAUCAUGAUUUACAUUUGAGUGAGUGGCGAACUGGUGAGUAACACGUGGGAAACCUGCCCAGAAGCGGGGGAUAACACCUGGAAACAGAUGCUAAUACCGCAUAACAACUUGGAUCGCAUGGUCCGAGUUUGAAAGAUGGCUUCGGCUAUCACUUUUGGAUGGUCCCGCGGCGUAUUAGCUAGAUGGUGGGUAACGGCCACAUGGCAAUGAUACGUAGCCGACCCUGAGAGGGUAAUCGGCCACAUUGGGACUGAGACACGGCCCAAACUCCUACGGAGCAGCAGUAGGAAUCUCACAAUGGACGAAAGUCUGAUGGAGCAACGCCGCGUGAGUGAAGAAGGUUUC
rnacentral:rRNA from 1 species